UACGUAGGGUGCGAGCGUUGUCCGGAAUUACUGGGCGUAAAGAGCUCGUAGGUGGUUUGUCGCGUUGUUCGUGAAAACUCACAGCUUAACUGUGGGCGUGCGGGCGAUACGGGCAGACUGGAGUACUGCAGGGGAGACUGGAAUUCCUGGUGUAGCGGUGGAAUGCGCAGAUAUCAGGAGGAACACCGGUGGCGAAGGCGGGUCUCUGGGCCGAAACUGACGCUGAGGAGCGAAAGCGUGGGGAGCAAACAGG
rnacentral:rRNA from 1 species